UGCCAGACUCCUACGGGAGGCAGCAGUGAGGAAUAUUGGUCAAUGGGCUGGAGCCUGAACCAGCCAAGUCGCGUGAGGGAAGACGGUCCUAUGGAUUGUAAACCUCUUUUGCCGGGGAGCAAAAAGCGGUACGUGUACCGCAUCGAGAGUACCCGGAGAAAAAGCAUCGGCUAACUCCGUGCCAGCAGCCGCGGUAAUACGGAGGAUGCGAGCGUUAUCCGGAUUUAUUGGGUUUAAAGGGUGCGCAGGCGGGGAGUUAAGUCGGCGGUAAAAUUUCGGGGCUCAACCCCGACAAGCCGUUGAAACUGGCAGUCUCGAGUUGGAGAGAAGUAUGCGGAAUGCGCGGUGUAGCGGUGAAAUGCAUAGAUAUCGCGCAGAACUCCGAUUGCGAAGGCAGCAUGCCGGCUCCACACUGACGCUGAGGCACGAAAGCGUGGGUAUCGAACAGGAUUAGAUACCCUCGUAAC
rnacentral:rRNA from 1 species